GCUGGGCAUGGUGGCGCAUGCCUGUAAUCCCAGCUACUCAGGAGGUUGAGGCAGGAGAAUCGCUUGAACCCAGGAGAUGGAGGUUGCAGUGAGCCAAGAUUGUGCCACUGCACUCCAGCCUGCGAGACAGAGUGAGACCCUGUCUCAA
rnacentral:SRP_RNA from 1 species